UCGUUGGUGGAUUUACUUUUCAGCUUUUGGCAACUUUGUUGUGUAUGCGUCAAUAUAAAAUAUUAUGUACCUUUUUUUUUUUUAUCGCUUUUCGACCUGUUUGGAAUUUAAGGAUUCGAGCGUAAAAAGAUUAUGUUUUUUUUUUUUAUCGUCUAUCCACAUGUUUAGAAUUCAUUUUGAAUGUCCAUAGAUGAUAAGAA
rnacentral:lncRNA from 1 species